rnacentral:lncRNA from 1 species
UUUCUCUGUGUUUAAAGUACUUCACAAAUUAGAAAGAAAACCUUUCCUUGGCAAGAAAGGUCAGUGGCAGAUGUGGUUCUAGUAGGCCCUGGUCCUCAUCUGUGUUUGUGCUUUAUUCCUAGACUGAAAGCAAUGAUGGCUGCUGUCAUCUGUGGCCUGGCCACUGCAUUCAACAACAGCCAGAGGAAGAGCGAGACUUCUGCUGUCUCUCCUUAGAGUGAGGAACCAUCUUUCUCAGAAGCCCCUGGGAACUUCUGCUUCAGUCUCAUUGGUCUAGAACAGGUCACAUGUCUAGUCUUGAACCAAACCUUGAAGCCAGGAAAAGGCCAGCAGUUAAUUGGCUUAUUAGACCUGUAUCCCUGAGCCAAUCAUGGGCAAGGGAGGUGAGAUCACUCUUAGACAUACUAAGUCUUUGAAAGAAGCUGUGGGUGAAGAUCAGGUAUUACUCCCAGCCUUGGUGGGCAGAUCAGAACACGCUCUGAGCAGAGGAAGAAGAAGUUGGCCUAGUGGAAUUGGAGAGCUCCAUUUUAUAAUCAGCAGCUCUUUCUUAACACUUCAGAGCCCUGCAUCCACAGCAGGUCCAAUCCAGCUGAGGACUUCCAACUGCAUUGCUGAAAAGCAGUCAUCCUCUGGUCACCUGGCACUGAAUCAGGGUGGAGGGUAAGAUGACCUGUGACCUCAUUAACCACAUGAAGUCCACUUAGAUGACACAGUGACAGCAGAUGGUGUGGAGGAUGCCUGCUCCAGUAACGUCUCACACUCUGGCUCUCACCUUUCUGAUGUUACCAGAGCCGUGUGGCUAAGUUAUGAAAUCUUCUACAAUUUGCAGGAAAGGGUCAUUUUGGCAGAACAAGUGUCACAACAGAAAAGAGAUGGGAAGGCAGCCGGGAGGCUCUGGUGACUCCAAGAAACACUUGGUGCUCUGCUCCCAUGGUAGGGGAGGCGGGUGCCCAUGUGGCCUGGGUAUUUAGUCUGAAUGCAUAACUCUUCAAGGUGUGCCUCUACCCUGGCUGCCUAAGCAUGAUGAGACAUGAUACACCCUUGCAUUUGCACUGAGGGGCUGACUGAGCCACCAAAAGUAGGCAGGUGUUAUGUCUGUAGGAGUGAGAUUUGCAUGGGACCUGACUGUCCCUGAGGUCUCUGCCUGGGACAUUAGCCUUGGAAUAGUUGUGGCAUCACCAUGUAUGGGGAGAUACUACUUGGUACAGUGGGCAGGGGAGGCCGCCACAAUCCAGAUGGGUGACUUGGCCUGUUUUAGCAGGAGCAUAUAGCUGCCAUCGUAAGCCUGGAGCAGUCAGAAAAGAUCCUCCUCAUUCAUUUUCCAAGAGUCUUUCCAGGACAAUUUAGGGCAGGAUCCCCCAGCUGAUCUACCCAUCUUCCCUGGGUACCCCUGGACUACAGAUGGGGACCAUUGCCCCUGUGAGUGAAUAAUGGGCUUCUCAGUCAGCAGAGUACACAUUAUGUGCCUGUCUGCUCCUCCUCCAUCAAUGCCUCUGUGCAGGGGUGAGCUUGGUGUGGGCAUUAAUUUGGAUUCCUCCAGAAGCCCGCACUGAGAGGAUUCAGGUGCAAAUAAUGUAUCUGGAAGGUGAGCCCAGGCAACAAUAGUUAGGCCAGAGGGGAAGGCAGGAUAGCAGGCAUUCAUUCAAAAGUUCGUGACUACAGCCACCGAGGGGUGAAGGAGCUCAGUGAAACAUUCACCCACCACCUCUCAUGGUUACUGGUUGAGGGCUGCUCCUGGGCUGUUAAUGUACCAGCACUUCUAGCCUUCCCUCUGUAGCUUCAGGCAGAGAGAAUCCAAGCUUGGAGCAAGAAACCUUGGGUGGCACCAGCUGGUACCCAGGAAUAUGGGCGGGGCAUCAGCACCCAUGCUACAGUUGUCUAGAGAAGGGGUGCUUGGCUUUGUCUUUUCAGGCAGACCAAAACUAUAAUUGUACUUUUACAGGAAGGAAGACCAAAAGGUAGAAGCAACCCAACUGUCCGUGGACAGAUGGAAGGAUGGGCAGACAAGCAAAAUGUGGUCUAUCCACACAAUGGAUUAUUAUUCAGCCUUAAAAAAGGUAGGACAUUCUGACACAUGCUACAAUAUGUAUGAACUUUGAGGAUACUAUGCUAAGUGAAUAAGCCAAUGACAGAAAGACAAAUACUGUAUGGUUCCUCUUCUAUUCAAUUCAUAGAGUAGCCAAAAUCAUAGAAAUCAUAUGGUGGUUGCCAGGGGUACUAGAAGGAGGAGUUAGUGUUUAUACUUUGGGAAGAUGAAAAUGUUCUGGGGAUAGAUGGUGGUGCUGGUUGCCCAGCAAUAUGAAUGUCCUUAAUGCCACAGAACUAUGCGCUUAAAAAUGAUUAGUAAAUUUUAUGUAUAUUUUACUACAAUAAAAAAUAAAGAAGGAAAACCAAGCACCAACACCUGAGUAACUUCUCCAAGACCACUCAGUGGUUAGCUGUCUCCAGUGAGGCCAGUGGAGAGUAGGAGACGCAUCUGUUGCUACUGCAGGCACAGGGGACCUCACUCAGCCUGUCACCUCCAUACCACCUGAGGACUCCACAGCAAGGAUGGAACAAGCCUCUCUGAGUAUUAUAGCCCAGAUUAAUUUGAGACAAGAAUGACACUUUUUGGGCUAUCCAAGGAGUAACUCCUUGGGAUGACUGGCAUCCCUGAAUCCCACGCUGUUACAGUUUCAUCUUGCAGAAAGUGAAACUGACAUUUUGAUGACCUACUGUGCUCAGGAGGCAGAGGGCAUCAGACCAGACUUGCUGCCUGUUAGUUUAUGUCUUAGGGGCAGGAGGGAGAGCGAACAGAUAUUAAGUGACAUUAGGCACAAAGCCGAAGGAUGGGUUAACGAAGCUGCCAGGGGGAGGGGGCUGCGCAGAAGCUGGGGGAAGGGCAAGGUAUCCUGAUGGGCAGCAGGGACAGCAGGCAGGGACGGCCUUGGGGAACUGGAAGGUCGAGGUGGUAGAGAAUGACAUGAUCAGCUUUGUUUCAUUCUCUUGCUGCUGUGGGAAGAAUGGAUUAGACAGGGUGAGGGUCAGGAGCUGCGGUUUGUACCUGAGUAGGGGUGGGGUCAGCAGUCACACGAGGGUCUCACAUGAGGGUCAGGAUGCAGAAACAUCUCAGCACCUUUGGGGAAAAACAUCUGUAAGUCAUAACUUAAAUUAAAAUAGAAUUCUGUGAUAUAUUUAAUCAGUUGUAAUGAGAACAGACAUACAUAGAAGACAGAAACCAGAAAUUGGAAACCUCAUUUUAGGUGGCUUGGAGCACAACCAUGAUUAAAGUGAUUGUCCCUGCACUUUCACUGCUUCACAGGGCACUCGGAGAACCCAAAACAGCCUCUACCAUCUUUUCAGAUAUCCCUUGCCAUAAAAUGGAGGGUUGUACUCUGUCUUUCCAGCACCUUCUGUUCGCAUCGCAUUUUGCUAGAUGCUGAGACAUCAAGAUACACAAAAUAAGUAGUCACAUCUCCAGAGUGCUUCAGGUCUGGUUGGAGCAGUUAGGCAGGUGCAGCUGAAGAGUUAAACAUGUGUCUUUUGUAGCAGAUCAAGGCAGCCAGAAGUAGGACGUGAUUAAUUGUUUAAUGAUAAAUGGGACAGAAAAUAAGGGACUGUAGGAAAUGAGAGAAAAGGAGAGCCCCUUAGGGUUUCCUGAGCCAGAUCUGAACUAGAAUGAUGCCUGGGGUUGGGACUGAUCCUCAACAUGAGAGCAGCAUGAAUAAGAGCAAGGGGUAGAAAGGGCGUGGUGUCUGAGUGGCAGUGUGCAUCGCACUGGAGCUCUGCUAGAGGAUUCAUUUCCACAGGCGAGAGUAGGCUGCAGGGUGUCCUCAGGUGGAGAGGUGGUGAGACACCAGAUUGUAUGCAGGGGCACGGGGCCUGUGCAGUCUGGGAGGCCAUCCCUCAUCCCCCACUCUGGAAGUGAAAGCAGGAUAGAAGCCUGGAUGGAGGGGGCAGUGGUGAUGUCCUUGGAAGAGGGUGGGGGAGAAAUUUGGAGAGUGAAAGGAGUUACUGUAGACAUUCUGAACAUGAGGUGUUUGGGGAACUAUCAGACGUAGUGCAAAGAGGCUGAAGGUGAAAGAAACCACCCUUGGGCUUAUUUUUCAUAAGGCUGUGGGGAUGUUCAGGAAUGUGAGGUAUACGGGAUAGUAGAGCCAUGUGUCAGUGGCCAGGGGUGAGGAGGAGACAGAUGGCCACUCAGGUUGGGUCAUUUGAGGAGAGUUUGACUAAGGGGCAGAGUACAGAAAUAUGGGCAGGGGGUGGGGAGACACGGAGAGGUGCAGUCUAGGGACUGGGAGCUGUGGCAGCCAGCCUACAGGGGACUGGAGGAGGGUUGUAACCUGAGAGGCCACAUGGAGAGGGACUAGCCAAAGGUGAACCCAGGGACAGCCGCAUCCCAGCCUCACUUGCCUCUCCCCACCAGAGAGAUGGGUACCAUUGCCAAAGUGUCUGCUGAAGGCCAACCUCCCCCACUGCAGGGUGAGGGAGACAAGAAAUGAUGCAGACACCACAACAGACUGACGGAGAUGGUGCAGGGAGGUGGGCGCUGGGCAGCCUGAGUGGUGACAGGUGGCUGUGCUUAUGCAGGGGAGGGCAUGGAAGAUUAUGGGGAGGAACCCGAUGGGAAGGGGCAGGUUUGAGUCCAAUAACCAGGCAUAGGUAUACAUCUCUGGUCAGUCCUCCCUCCAGAAAAAGCAUGAUAGUAAAAAAGAAAAAAUAUUUUAGUAAUCCAUGAAAACUGAGUAAUGAUGAUGAUGAUUACAGAGUGAACACCCACCAAUUGAUGAGCCUUUGUAUCCUAUGAUUUGUUUUUACAAAACUAGCAGAAACCAGAAUUUCCAAAUUCUACUUCCCCUUAAUUUUUGUCCUCAGAAAAUCUGACCUACAUGGUGCUUGAGAAUAAUAUUCUCGAACUAGUAGCCUGGUAAGAAUCAGCCCUUCCCCUUCCUUUUCAAUUCACCAGAAUCGACAUGUUAGCAAAAUCUGCUUGAGAGCAGGUUUCUUCAGCUUGUUCAGCACAGGCUCCCCAUCCAGUAGGUCCAGGGUGGGCCCGAGGGUCUGCAUUCCCACCAGCUCCCCAGCCAGGUGCUGGCGGUCUCUGGAGCCACUGGGCACAGCCAGGCCACGGAAGGCCUCUUCUAAUGACCUGAGUGGGGAUUCAGGGGAAGAAGCAGCAGUUAGGUGAUCACAAGUAUAAGAACUGGGUGAGAAACAUCUAUACAAACCCCCCUCCCCUUCCCAAAAAAAAAAAGGAAAGAAAGAAAAAGGAA